AUUGAACGCUGGCGGCAGGCCUAACACAUGCAAGUCGAACGGUAACAGGAAGCAGCUUGCUGCUUUGCUGACGAGUGGCGGACGGGUGAGUAAUGUCUGGAAACUGCCCGAAGGAGGGGGAUAACUACUGGAAACGGUAGCUAAUACCGCAUAACGUCGCAAGACCAAAGAGGGGGACCUUAGGGCCUCUUGCCAUCGGACGUGCCCAGAUGGGAUUAGCUAGUAGGUGGGGUAACGGCUCACCUAGGCGACGAGCCCUAGCUGGUCUGAGAGGAUGAGCAGCCACACUGGAACUGAGACACGGUCCAGACUCCUACGGGAGGCAGCAGUGGGGAAUAUUGCACAAUGGGCGCAAGCCUGAUGCAGCCAUGCCGCGUGUAUGAAGAAGGCCUUCGGGUUGUAAAGUACUUUCAGCGGGGAGGAAGGGAGUAAAGUUAAUACCUUUGCUCAUUGACGUUACCCGCAGAAGAAGCACCGGCUAACUCCGUG
rnacentral:rRNA from 1 species